AAUCCAUCUCCAGUGAGAAUCAAUUAUGUUAUAUCUGAUGAAUCAGGGGAGGGAGUUGGUGAGAGAGAAUGGGGGCCUAUUAUUAUUUUCAAGUCAAGUCAACCAGCCAAGUCUGCAAACAAAAGCAUUUUCUGUCUUUUUCUCUCUGUCUUGUUGAUGGCCUCCCCUUGUCUCUCUUCCUUGGCAUAUUUCCUGCAGUUUCCCCACCCAGCAGUAGUUAUAUACAUCUGAAUAACACUGCAGUUCAAACACCAAAAGAGUUGUUUUCCUAUGGUUUCUAAAUGCCUUUUCUAUUUUCUUGUAUUUGCAAUCCUGGCAUAAGCAGUGCUUGUCAAGGGGUGUUACAUCAGAAAACUCAAGCAUGAGACUAUCUACAUGUGUGAGUGUGUUCAUAUGUACAUGAACACAUGUGACCAAGAGGGCAAAAAAAUACUGCUUCAGAUUAUUAAUGAAAUAGUGAUAGGAACUUUUUUUAUACCUGUGGCUGUAAAAAGAAAGUAGAAGUUUUAUUCUUGUAUCUGCACAUCACUAACUAGUACUAACACACACACACAGAGGUUUUCUUCUGUAUCCCCAAAAAUCACAAAAUGGGAAACGAAAAGGGAAGGAGGAGAAAGGGAGAAUUGCUGGAAAUGAUUUUCUCUUAGGGUGUUCUCUAAUAAUAAGAAAGGAGACCUACUUUGAACUCUUGAUUCUUUGCCAGAGAACAAAAACCUUACAGCAUUUUGCUACCUUUAAUUGUAUUACUCUUCUAGUAAUCAAUAAAGAUAAAAAAAAGAUCAUUCUAUGUACAAUAUGAAAUCACAGUGUCUGACUAUGUGGAGAUAGAUUCCACUUAUCUGUCUCUAGGGGUAGCUUCUCUUGUAGGAGAAAACUCAAUUUUUAUUUGGAUUUUAAAAAUGUUUCAAAUUAUUCAGUCAAUGCUACAUGCAUAUUAAAAGAUUUAUUACCAAAUAUUCUCAUCCUGAUGUACUGGAUCUAUGCACCCAAUUCCCACUAAUGUUAAUGGAACCUCAUCUGUAAAUCCCUGCACAUCAAAGCCAGACAGUACCCAUAAGUAUUGCAAAUACAUAGGUAGCUGGAUAAAUAGCAUAAAGAUUAACCACCUCUGGCAUUGCUUUUUUUUAAUUUUUUUUUUUAUUUCUUUGUGUAAACGUUGGUCUUAUCUUUCUAAGGACUCGAGAUGUAAGAAACUAAAUGCAUCCGGGCCAACAUCCCCCACACUUCAGCAUGGGUGUUGAAGGGAGAUACCUGACUGCUGAAUGGUGGCACCCACUCUAAUUGAAGGGAAGAGGGAGAAAGGUGCCUCCACAGGGUGACUCAGAUUUUAGGUGGGCUGAGUCAUCCCCACAGGUGCCUGUUUCUCUCCACUGACUGUUAACUGGGGGUGUAUAAAGAGAUGGUAAUUUGAGCACCUGUAGCAAGAUAGGUCACACCAGGCCUUAAAGUAUUAAACCCCCAUUCCAGUCCUCUGGCAUGAGAGCCUGAGCUCCUGCUUAGGAAAUAGGCAGCUCUCUCCAUGUUGGGGUGCCUAACAGCCCCUUGUGUUAAAGGCAUAAAGAGAUAUGGAGAAAGGCCAACCAUCCCUUCUCUCUCAUUCCCACCAAUAUUAAAAACCACACAUUCAUAUAUUAAAGCCAGGAAUUUCAAACACUGAUUCCUAGCAUUUAAACCUUCUAUCCCUAGAUGAAAUUCAUAAGAAGCAGCUUGGAUUUCACUGCUCCAGAACAUGAGUUUGGGUUAAUUAUCUAACCUUAGGAAUCUAUGUUUUGUAACUUUUGGAUCCUGUUUUAGAAUUAAGAGAAAACAAGUGUAUUGUUAUUGUUAAUAAUAUUAUUAAUAGCUUUAUUAAUUUAAAUGUCAAAAUAUAUGCCAAUAUUAACUGUAAUUAAAGUAAAUUAAGUAUACUAACAACAGUUAUAUACAACUGCACAUAUUAUGCUGGAAUUCAAAGUAAACAAAUAUAUGUUUUAAAGUGAAAAAAUUAGGUAGAAAAAAUAUUAAUCAUGGGGCCAAUAACUAUAUUAAUUGUCAGAAGAGAAUAGAGCUGCAAUAAAAUUGAAAGGAGCAUGUACAGUGAAAGAUGAGUGGGAUGAUUAGAGCACAGACAGGCUAAUAGAUGUUAACUAAUAAUACUUUUCUGAAACUUCCAUUUCUUAUUCGUAGAUUCACAAGGAAGCAUCAUUAGCCCCAUUAAGCAGAGGAAGGAGGAAGAGGCAUAGAGUAAUGAAGUACAGUGGCCAGCAUCACCCAAGGAAAAUGAAACUCGUCUUACCUCAGGUCUAAUCAAAAGACUAAGCCUCUUCUCCGGCUGCAGGAAGGAAAAAAAGAAGAAAAGGCUAAAGAGGGAGUCCAGCUAGAGCGCACAUGCAGCUGAGAUGCAACUAAUGGGAAGACAGAGAAGACAAAGUGAGUUUUUUUCUCAGAGACUUACAGCAAAAGGAUUAGAGACUUAAGAGUAAGGGGAAACUCAGCUGAAUAUAUAUUUCACAAGAAAAGUGUUUAAUCACUGGCACUGUAUCUAAGAGAGGGUAUCUAUACAGGUUUCCACUUAUUAAAUAAAUCUGCAUUUCUACAAAAAUCUUCCAGAUGAAGACAUUUUUUUUUAAAUAUUCAAAAAAGAAUCUUGUGAAUUAACAUCCAACUUUGUGCACUGGUGAAGCCAUAUGUUGUAAGUGCAUUAAGUGCACUGGUGAAAAUGUUACCCAUGAAAUCUAUGAUCUUGGGAAUACAGAAAAUUGUAUAUAAAAGCAAGAAAAUAUAACUUAGAAAGACCACCUCAAAAAUACUGUAUUUUACUUAGUUGACUUCUACAUGAUUGUUAAUGCAAAAUUAACAAUCGUUAAUAGUACCUUUCAAUGAAGUUUAGAGUAUUAUUAAAGUUAUUUUUUUCACCUAAAUGUGGUUAGUAUUUAGUAAGAAUAGCUUUAAAAUCGUAGUGAUUGUGAAAAGAAAAGAGUGUGUUGUAUUGGAAAGCAGGAGUUUCUUUGCCGUGUUUUUCAUUGGCUCACAAUUCAAAUAACAAUUUGCUGAGAGCAGUAUCCAGUAUACCCAUAUCUGGUAUUUUUUAUUUGGAGAUAUGGAUGAAUUAAUACCCAAAAUAGCCAAAUGGAAUAUUUGCUUCCAAAAAAUCUUAGAGUCGUUUUGUAAUACUUACAGUUCUGCCUGUCUCUGAGUUGAAAGGAUUAAAUGCAUUUUUUAAUGGAAAAAAAGAGCCCCAAAAUUCAUUUGAAUUUCCAAACUGGGUCCCUCUCGUCUUCAGAUAAUGACCUGAGUUUCUAAAGAAAAGCCAUCAAAGCUUCAAAACACCAAUCCUAAGAUCUUUCCCAUCAAAUGGCUUGAUUUAGUGCCACUGUAAUUAUUUGGCUCUUUGCCAUUGUCUUCAUUAGGCUCACUAUCAUGACCCCACAAGUUUUUACCAUCAGCAGGAGAAAAAGAUACUUCGGAAACCCUCAGCUUUUUUCAGCUGUGCUGUGGUUUAUUCACAGCACCAUCUUUCUCUUUUUCCAAGCAGUUUGCAUUUUGGGAUCUGACACAACAAGUGUGCCAUAGCAAGGGUACACUACACAAAUAUCACGGAAAGCACAGCAAGAAAAGCUUUAUAUAAACUUCCCCUGCUUCUCUGAGCUCGUCAGCUCUUUAUUAAUGACACUGUCAAAGUUUGUAUUGUGCUCACAUUGGAAGGGGAAGCUUCAUCCUCACAAAACCAAUAAAAGUUGAUUACAUACAUAUGAAAUCUAUGGAUCAUGGGCAGGAUUCUUGGAUCCUGUACAAAGGAAGUGUCAUGUUUCAUCUUUUGUAGGGGAAUGUAUGGGAAUGCAUAUGUGAAGCCACAGAACUCCAUGUAGUCCCUUUCAGUAAAGAUCAUACAAACAGAACCAAAUUUUCUUUAGAGCACAACUAUAGGUUUAUUACUACAUGGGAAAAAAAAGAAAUCCCUUUUUUUCUUCCUUCUCCAGUGCCACCUGAAGGCUGUCAAGAGAAAAUAAUGAUUUUGAUCAAGGGACAAAACACAGUAGAUAGUCCUAGUUAAUAAUAAUAUUGGAAUAAAUUACAUUAGUCAAAGCAAUCUGAAAUGGCAUUUUGAGAGGAGAGAGAUGAUGCCAGACCUGUGACUGAAAGGCCAAAUAUUCUAAUGGGACCUGUUAACCAUCAAAAAGUCAGAUUUUCAAAGGCAGAUAUUAAUCUAGAUUUUGUAGAAAAUACAGGAAAUGUGAUUCACGGUAGCAAAAGUGUAAGAAACAAUAUUAUUUUCUUUUGAAAUAUGUAGUUCAUUUGAAACAUAAAGCUUUGUGAAAGAAGAUGAAUAUACUAGCAUGUAGGUUUGCAUGAAAAUAAAAGUGUGGAAAUCCCAA